UUCUCAUUCCAAAUCAGCAUUAUUUUGAGUUAUUACAAGGUUAGGAAUCAGAUUAUGUACUGAUAAUCAUUUUAUUUCAAGCUAAAUUGUAAUUGUUAGAUGGUCAUGUCUAUUAAUUUCCUAUAGACAACCCUUCUUGAGUUUCCUAUGGAUUUAUUACGGUUUCAAAAUGGUCAAGCAUUCAAGCUAGCAGCAGCAAAAAUUUGUCCCAACUAUUAAGCUACAAGAUUUAGCAAUGCAUGCUAUAUGUAGCAAUUUGGCCCCAAAAACCUGAACACCAUACCACAGAAAUUAGAAGACUUAGCAAAGCAUGCAUUCAUGUGACCAAGCAUCAUAUUGCAGUUACAAUACACAUAGAUUGAGUAAUAUAUCCUUGCUUUUUCAGGAGUCAGUCAAAAUAUGCAAGUAUGUGCACCCAGUUUGUUCAAGCCCCUUGCUCAGAAGUUGGUCUGGAGAUGCAAGAAUACAGGUAAACUGCAUAUAUAACUGCAUUUUUACGCAGAACUGAAAUCUCACAGAAACUACACUAAACUGGAUUGAGAUUAUUGAAAAAUGUUAAUUAAAUGUUAAAUGGAUAACUUUGUGAUAAUCUACACCAUAUCUUUAUGGACUAGGACCAAUCAAAACAACAUGCAGGAAUUGUUCAUCCUCAUGGAACCAAAAAACCAUCCAUCCACUUUCACUGCAAGUCAACACUGUACUGAGCUUUCCCUGUCCAUACACUUCCGAAACAGAAUGCCAGAUUGUUAAAUACUGACCAAGAUAACGAUAUUUAGAAACAAAUCACCUCACCCUCACCUCUUUCUGAUUAGUUUUUUGCUGCUGAACUAUUGCUGUCGGCUGUCGGAGUGCCUUUGCUGCUUGGGGUUCUUGCUUAACUUCCGCCUGCUGUGGAUGCCGCUUUGUGCUCGAGUUCUUGCUUAACUUCCGCCUGCUGUGGAUGCCGCUUUGUGUUUGGGUCUUUCCUUCUUGCUGCUGGUGUCGCUGUCUUUUUGUUGGCCAGGGGCAUGAUAUCUGGGGCAGCAGCCAAUCCUCCACGGGUGAAGUGAAGGUUUAUGUUUGUCACAAUUUCCAAUAUUAGCAUAGUAUGUAUUUGCAUGUUGCAAAGAUCUCAGUAUGAGGAGAUUUAGAUUCAUUCAACUCAACCAUUGACAGGCAGGGAGACAACAAAGGGGGCAGUAUAAUUGCAUCCCAUUAUUAUUUUUCUCUUUAUUAGAUGGCAUAUUGUUAUUUGUUCUAUAUAUACUUAACGUCCCCGUAUGGCUGCUUUUGAGAAAAAACCCGUAUUACCAUGUAUCCGUGUUUCUUAGUUCUUAUUCAUCCUAAGUUUUAGCAGAUUAAUUAAUCAUUUGCUUUUCUCAAUUUUAUUGUUUUGGAAAUUUUGUUCCUCUACCAUUUAUCAAGUACGGUUUGCGAGAGGUGGUUGCUAUUCAUACGUUCUAGUAUAUGUAAUACAAAAGGUACUUCUCAUUCAGUAUUUAAACGAUCUGGUGUCGUUCUAUUGCAUGGCAUUUGAAUUGCCCAAUGCUUGGUUGUGAGAGAUGAUAUCCAUCUCAGAAAGGAGAAAGGGUCACUGCUGGUCAAAUGCUUUGUGCCUAGGACUGAUAUGAACUUCUCUUCCACAACUAGACAAUUAUCCGAUCUAUUUCAAUUGUCUGGAUGUUAACUCGAGGUAAGAGCAAGUGCUACGACAAUUCCCAGUACACAUUUAUAAGCAGUAUUUCGGUUAAAAAAGAGUGAGAUGGAUAGCUCAUGGUAGCAUUCAAGGCAUAUUUUUCAGACUUGACACAGUAGCAGUUUAAUAUUUUUCAGACUUGGACACCGUAGCAGUUUAAGCGGCGCAGCAAGGCGCGCGUAUGCUUCUAGUGUCCAUCGAAGCUAUCUGAUAAAUGGAGACCGUAGCCAAAAUUGAGGUUAGGGACCUCAAUUGCUGUGACAUGAAGAAACUUGGAGCUGGAAAAUGUAUUUGUGAAGAAUCAACUUGAGAUGGCAAACACUAC
rnacentral:lncRNA from 1 species